rnacentral:tRNA from 1 species
UCCCUGGUAGCUUAGCUGGUAAAGAAUCUGCUUGAAAAGCAGGAAACCUGGGUUCAAUCCCCGGGUUGGGAA